ensembl:lncRNA LOC102551724 uncharacterized LOC102551724
AUUUAACGAAUUAAUAAUGAAAGGCUUGAUUCUUCUGACAUCUUCCUUUAUGGUAAAGACAGUGAAUGGAAAAUCAGAGCUGAAGAAGAGGAGAUGCUUUUCAACGGACCUCUCAUUUGAAGUCCAGUGAGCACACAAUCAAGCGUUGGUCUUGCCAUCUCCGUUUCCGAGACUUGCCAGGUAUUUCCUGGGCUGUCAGCUGUUAGCUGGAGUGUGUGCAGGUGAACCUGAACUGAGAGGCAGCAUUUAUAAAAGAGCUGCCAGCUUGCACACAGGAAUUCUCUCACAUUCGUGCUUGCCUGGUUUUCUUCACCCAAAGCACAAAGACGUGCUGUUGAACACGCGUUGUUCUUUUCUCCUUGAAUACUAGAAAGAGAG